AGCGAACGCUGGCGGCAGGCCUAACACAUGCAAGUCGAACGAAGCCUUCGGGCUUAGUGGCGGACGGGUGAGUAACACGUGGGAACGUACCUUUUGGUCCGGAACAACUCAGGGAAACUUGAGCUAAUACCGGAUGAGCCCUUAGGGGGAAAGAUUUAUCGCCGAAAGAGCGGCCCGCGUUAGAUUAGCUAGUUGGUAAGGUAAAGGCUCACCAAGGCUACGAUCUAUAGCUGGUCUGAGAGGAUGAUCAGCCACACUGGGACUGAGACACGGCCCAGACUCCUACGGGAGGCAGCAGUGGGGAAUCUUGCGCAAUGGGCGAAAGCCUGACGCAGCCAUGCCGCGUGAAUGAUGAAGGUCUUAGGAUUGUAAAAUUCUUUUACCAGGGACGAUAAUGACGGUACCUGGAGAAAAAGCCCCGGCUAACUUCGUGCCAGCCGCCGCCGUAACAC
rnacentral:rRNA from 1 species